CACUAAGAAGCUUGUAUAGCAUCAGCCUUUUAAGUUGAAGAGGGAAACUACUUUCCUUAGUGA
rnacentral:tRNA from 1 species